rnacentral:rRNA from 1 species
AGUGAACGCUGGCGGUAGGCCUAACACAUGCAAGUCGAACGGCAGCACAGUAAGAGCUUGCUCUUACGGGUGGCGAGUGGCGGACGGGUGAGGAAUACAUCGGAAUCUACUUUUUCGUGGGGGAUAACGUAGGGAAACUUACGCUAAUACCGCAUACGACCUACGGGUGAAAGCAGGGGAUCUUCGGACCUUGCGCGAUUGAAUGAGCCGAUGUCGGAUUAGCUAAUUGGCGGGGUAAAGGCCCACCAAGGCGACGAUCCGUAGCUGGUCUGAGAGGAUGAUCAGCCACACUGGAACUGAGACACGGUCCAGACUCCUACGGGAGGCAGCAGCGGGGAAUAUUGGACAAUGGGCGCAAGCCUGAUCCAGCCAUACCGCGUGGGUGAAGAAGGCCUUCGGGUUGUAAAGCCCUUUUGUUGGGAAAGAAAAGCAGCAGGUUAAUACCCCGCUGUUCUGACGGUACCCAAAGAAUAAGCACCGGCUAACUUCGUG